AAGCUGUGUUCACACGGCGAGACCGCGGACGGCUCAUUAAAUCAGUCGUGGUCCAAAUGGGCCAGUGCAAAUCCUACUUGGAUAACUGUGGUAAUUCCAGAGCUAAUACAUGCAACUGAUAUCCCGAAGGCGUGGCUGUGCUUGCUUGUCUUGCGCUUUCAUUGCUCUGACGGAUGCUUUUAUUAGACCAAGCCGCUGAGGACUUGGGGGUUCGCUCUCUUGUUCGACUCGUGUUAUGGUGACUCUGGAUAACCAAUUCUGACAAGCGCACGUACUUCUCUUCUGAGCGAGACGGCGCUGCCACUUUCGAGUGUCUGCCUUAUCAGCUAUCAACCGUUCGUUAUGCGCGACCGAUGGCUUUGACGGGUAACGGGGAAUCAGGGUUCGAUUCCGGAGAGGCAGCCUGAGAGACGGCUACCACGUCCAAGGACGGCAGCAGGCACGCAAAUUACCCAAUCCCAGCAAAUGGGGGAGGUAGUGACGAAAUCUAACGAUGCGGGCGCCCUUUCUGGGGCCCCGCAAUCGGAAUGGGCACUUUCUAAACAACCUGUUGAGAACCUACUGAAGGGCAAGUCUGGUGCCAGCAGCCGCGGUAAUUCCAGCUUCAGCAGCAUCUAUUAAAGUUGCUGCGGUUAAAAGGCUCGCAGUUGAAUGUCUGUAUCGAGCGCAGGUCAGGUGGACGUUGGGGCGUGGAAGUACGGGCUGUUGGAUGUUCGGAGGGCUUCGUGCUCGACGGCUCCUUCGGCUUUUCCACACACCCCCGUCCGUAACAAGCCUCCUCGCUCGGGUACAUAACGGGAAUCGGUCAAACGGAGUGUGGUCUUGCUUUUGGAGGUUAACGCUUUCAGGAGUGUGGCUACGUUAAGCUCCAUCGGUUUCACGGUCACCUUGAGUAAAUCAGAGUGCUCAAAGCAGUCGUAGGGGCCUUGCGCCCUGUGAACAGUCUUGACGGACUGACUUGGUUUUGCAUGGCAUGUCGGAAGACGACGUCGUGUGCUGGCUCAGAGGAUAAAUCAGUGGUACAAGCCAGCCUCGACGUAAUGAUUAAAAGGGACGGUCGAGGGCAUUGGUAUUGCGAGGCGAGAGGUGAAAUUCUGUGACCCCCGCAAGACCUCCUGAAGCGAAAGCGUCUGCCAAGGACGUUUUCAUUAAUCAUGAACGAAAGUUAGAGGAUCGAAGGCGAUCAGAUACCGCCCUAGUUCUAACCCUAAACGAUGCCAACCAUCAAUCCGCGCGUAGCACCCUUCUUAACGGGCUCGGCGGGCAGCUCCCCACUCACGGGAAACCAGAGCCUCUGGGUUCCGGGGGGAGUCUGGUUGCAAAGCUGAAACUUAAAGGAAUUGACGGAAAGGCACCACCAGGCGUGGAGCCUGCGGCUUAAUUUGACUCAACACGGGCCAUCUCACCAGGCCAGCACUCUUGUACGAUUGACAGAUUGAGAGCUCUUUCUCGAUUCAGUGGAUGGUGGUGCAUGGCCGUUCUUAGUUGGUGGAGUGAUCUGUCUGGUUAAUUCCGAUAACGAACGAGACUCUCCCCUGCUAACUAGUCGGUUGGAUCUUGAUCAGCGGGUUGCGUGCUGAGUAACUCUCGCUGCGUGUGAUGUGCGUUUCGUGCUUAACGGUGCGUUGCGUCUUGCGCGUAGUGUUGGAUGCCUUGGAUCACACUGCACCCCAAGUCCGCCGCUUAUGCUAUAACUCUUCUUAGAGGGAUUCACGGCACUGAAGCCGUAAGAGACUGAGAGCAAUAACAGGUCUGUGAUGCCCUUAGAUGCUCUGGGCCGCACGCGCGCUACAAUGCCGGGCACAGCAGGUGUUUCUCCUGCUCCGACAGGAGCGGGUAACCCUCUGAAAGCCAGUGUUCUUGCAAGUACUUCCUCCCUCGUGGAGUUGUACAAAGGCGUGCUUGGGCCUGGGACUUGCAAUUCUUUCCCACCAACGAGGAAUGCCUAGUAGCGGCGGGUCACUGAGCCCGCUGUGACUCAGUCCCUGCCCUUUGUACACACCGCCCGUCGCUACUACCGAUUGGGUGUACCAGUGAGAGCCUUGGACUGGCGUCCGUUGUUAUUCGCAAGAGUGACAAGCGGGUCCGACGGAAAGAGGUCCGAACUGGUGCAC
rnacentral:rRNA from 1 species